UACGAAGGGGGCUAGCGUUGCUCGGAAUCACUGGGCGUAAAGGGUGCGUAGGCGGGUCUUUAAGUCAGGGGUGAAAUCCUGGAGCUCAACUCCAGAACUGCCUUUGAUACUGAGGAUCUUGAGUUCGGGAGAGGUGAGUGGAACUGCGAGUGUAGAGGUGAAAUUCGUAGAUAUUCGCAAGAACACCAGUGGCGAAGGCGGCUCACUGGCCCGAUACUGACGCUGAGGUGCGAAAGCGUGGGGAGCAAACGGG
rnacentral:rRNA from 1 species